rnacentral:rRNA from 1 species
ACUUCGGGUAUAGCCUGGGAAACUGGGUCUAAUACCGGAUAUGACCUUCGGCUGCAUGGCUGAGGGUGGAAAGGUUUACUGGUGCAGGAUGGGCCCGCGGCUUAUCAGCUUGUUGGUGGGGUAAUGGCCUACCAAGGCGACGACGGGUAGCCGACCUGAGAGGGUGACCGGCCACACUGGGACUGAGACACGGCCCAGACUCCUACGGGAGGCAGCAGUGGGGAAAUAUUGCACAAUGGGCGAAAGCUGAUGCAGCGACGCCGCGUGAGGGAUGACGGCCUUCGGGGUGGUAAACCUCUUUCAGCAGGGACGAAGCGAAAGUGACGGUACCUGCAGAAGAAGCACCGGCCAACUACGUGGCAGCAGCCGCGGAAUACA